UACGUAGGGGGCAAGCGUUGUCCGGAAUCAUUGGGCGUAAAGAGCGUGUAGGCGGCCAGAAAAGUCCGCUGUGAAAACUCGAGGCUCAACUUCGAGCUGUCGGUGGAAACUUUCUGGCUAGAGUCCGGAAGAGGAGAAUGGAAUUCCUGGUGUAGCGGUGAAAUGCGCAGAUAUCAGGAAGAACACCCGUGGCGAAGGCGGUUCUCUGGGACGGUACUGACGCUGAGAAGCGAAAGCAUGGGGAGCGAACAGG
rnacentral:rRNA from 1 species